GAUAGUUGGACUCUUCAGGACUCUCCGUCUGGAUGCAUCUUACGUUCCUCACCAGCAGACAGGCUGCCGCUGUGCCACUCGAGAGCCACACUCAGCUUAGAAGGGGAUAUUGCUCUGUCACCUACUUCUGCAUAUCUGAUGAGAGCUCCAAUUACAACAUCCCAACUGCAGUAGUGCUUAGCAUUCAUGACUCCCGCUGAAGACCGUCAGAGAACUUGGUACUCAACAUCUCUGAAAACAUCUCUCUAGGCCUAUUUUCUUUUGUGUGGAUGUAUGGUUUUGACCUCUUCAACUACUAUCAAGCCUCUUCCUAGGCUCAUUCUAUCAGAUAACUUGUAGGUUGGUUCAUCUUAAAAUAGCUUUUUUAAGUUAUGUCUUUUUAGAGAGACUGACGUAUCAUUAAUAGAACAUGUGUAGCCUGGCAGUGUAAAAGGGUAGAUUUGACUCCAGUCCUAAUGGACCACAAUCCAUUUGAAUGAAACAAUGAAUUAAUAAAACCAUCAGAUGCAGGACUGCACAAAUGUCCAAAACAAAUGACAUUCGUUGUUUUAUUUUACUGCUACAGUUUUAAAACUCCUUCCUU